rnacentral:rRNA from 1 species
GAAAGUCUGACGGAGCAACGCCGCGUGAACGAAGAAGGUCUUCGGAUUGUAAAGUUCUGUGAUUCGGGACGAAAGGGUUUGUGGUGAAUAAUCAUAGACAUUGACGGUACCGAAAAAGCAAGCCACGGCUAACUACGUGCCAGCAGCCGCGGUAAUACGUAGGUGGCAAGCGUUGUCCGGAAUUAUUGGGCGUAAAGCGCGCGCAGGCGGUUUCUUAAGUCCAUCUUAAAAGCGUGGGGGCUCAACCCCAUGAGGGGAUGGAAACUGGGAAGCUGGAGUAUCGGAGAGGAAAGUGGAAUUCCUAGUGUAGCGGUGAAAUGCGUAGAGAUUAGGAAGAACACCGGUGGCGAAGGCGACUUUCUAGACGAAAACUGACGCUGAGGCGCGAAAGCGUGGGGAGCAAACAGGAUUAGAUACUCUGGUAGUCCACGCCGUAAACGAUGGAUACUAGGUGUAGGAGGUAUCGACCCCUCCUGUGCCGGAGUUAACGCAAUAAGUAUCCCGCCUGGGAAGUACGAUCGCAAGAUUAAAACUCAAAGGAAUUGACGGGGGCCCGCACAAGCGGUGGAGUAUGUGGUUUAAUUCGACGCAACGCGAAGAAC